UACGUAGGGGGCGAGCGUUGUCCGGAAUCAUUGGGCGUAAAGAGCUCGUAGGCGGUUCAGUAAGUCAGGUGUGAAAGCUCCGAGCUCAACUCGGAGAGGCCACCUGAUACUGCUGUGACUAGAAUCCAGUAGGGGAGUGUGGAACUCCUGGUGUAGCGGUGAAAUGCGCAGAUAUCAGGAAGAACACCAGCGGCGAAGGCGGCACUCUGGGCUGGAAUUGACGCUGAGGAGCGAAAGUGUGGGUAGCAAAUAGG
rnacentral:rRNA from 1 species